rnacentral:rRNA from 1 species
UGAGGAAUAUUGGUCAAUGGGCGCAGGCCUGAACCAGCCAAGUCGCGUGAGGGAUGACGGUCCUACGGAUUGUAAACCUCUUUUGUCGGGGAGUAACGUGCGGGACGGGUCCCGUAUUGAGAGUACCCGAAGAAAAAGCAUCGGCUAACUCCGUGCCAGCAGCCGCGGUAAUACGGAGGAUGCGAGCGUUAUCCGGAUUUAUUGGGUUUAAAGGGUGCGCAGGCGGCGCGCCAAGUCAGCGGUCAAAGUUCCGGGCUCAACCCGGUGUCGCCGUUGAAACUGGCGG